rnacentral:rRNA from 1 species
UACGUAGGGGGCUAGCGUUGUCCGGAAUCAUUGGGCGUAAAGAGCGUGUAGGCGGCCCGGUAAGUCCGCUGUAAAAGUCAAAGGCUCAACCUUUGAAUGUCAGUGGAUACUGCCGGGCUAGAGUCCGGAAGAGGCGAGUGGAACUCCUGGUGUAGCGGUGGAAUGCGCAGAUAUCAGGAAGAACACCGACGGCGAAGGCAGCUCGCUGGGACGGUACUGACGCUGAGGCGACGAAAGGCGUGGGGGAGCAAACACGG